rnacentral:sRNA from 1 species
UAUAUUCUCUGUUCUGCAUUAUAAGCAACAUGACCAGCAGCCACGUUUGUUGUAAUUUUUUAAAUAUGUGGAAAAAAAGCAAGAUAUCAACCAUGUAUUACCUUAACCAAGAUGCCAAAUUAUCUAACUUGUUUCUCCAGGCAAGCAGCCCAACAACAGGGACAGCUCCCAGGAGCCAGUCAAGGUUGUCUGUCUGUCCAUCCACUCAGGACAUCUGCAGAAUCUGUCACUGCGAAGGGGAUGAAGAGAGCCCCCUCAUCACACCCUGUCGCUGCACUGGGACACUGCGCUUUGUCCACCAGUCCUGCCUCCACCAGUGGAUAAAGAGCUCAGAUACACGCUGCUGUGAGCUCUGCAAGUAUGACUUCAUAAUGGAGACCAAGCUCAAACCCCUCCGGAAGGUACAGUAUCCAUAGGAAUUGGUUUGGGAGGGACCAUUUGCAAAGCAGACUUGUUUUAGAAAUCUAUUUCCUUUGCCAAUAAGAUUCUCCUAAUAUGCUAAUAUCCAUUAAGGGUAUGUGUCUUGUGUUGAGCUCAGUGCACAAAAUUCAUCUAAGU